UCCUGCCCUAGCGACAUGUGAUCUCUAAAGGUCCUAGUGUGGAGAGUGAAAGACUAACUGAGGGGAUGGAUAUUCUACCUACACAGCCAUGGAGGAGUCUUCAUCCAUGCUGAGACCUCGCCUCACUAUGUGGAGCAAGAAUACAUGUCUUAUCCUCAAAGGACUGUCGGCUUAAGAGAGAAUGCAUGAUAACUACCAUGUAAAAAAAGGACAAGCAAGAAGAAACAGACUUGAGCUAAAGAAAAAUAUCAGAGCACCAAACCAGACACAGUAAGACAGCAUUUAUUCCAGGAUGAGGACUCUGAUGGGCAGAUAUGAACCUGUGGUCAUGCAGCGAUCCUGGUGAAAAUCAGUGGGUCUCAAGGAAAACACAAAAUAAAACAAACAAUGAAACAGAUCAACAACAGUA